rnacentral:ncRNA from 2 species
CUAUUAAACAGAAUACGUACCUGUAUAACCUCGAGAAUAUGGCUUGAGGGUCUCUACCAGGAACCAUAAAAAUCCUGAUUACAGAAAAUGAUUGAUUCAUU